AGAGGAUAGAGUUGUCAUUUUUGAUCUCCAGCAGAGAAUUAUUCUUGGAGAUCUUCAGACUUCUUUUAUCAGGUAUGUUGUUUGGUCACCUGAUAUGGAAAGUGUCGCUUUGAUUAGCAAGCACUCCAUAGUUAUAGCUGAUAAGAAGCUUGUGCACCGUUGCACCCUUCAUGAGACAAUUCGUGUCAAAAGUGGUGCCUGGGAUGACAAUGGGGUAUUCAUAUAUACCACACUUACCCACAUUAAGUACUGUCUCCCCAACGGGGAUUGUGGAAUCGUCAAAACUCUAGAUGUUCCUGUCUACAUUACAAAAAUAUAUGGGAACGCUAUCUUUUGCUUGGAUAGAGAUGGCAAAAACCGUCCUAUUAUUAUUGAUUCA
rnacentral:misc_RNA from 1 species